rnacentral:rRNA from 1 species
GCAUCGAUGAAGAACGCAGCGAAAUGCGAUAAGUAAUGUGAAUUGCAGAAUUCAGUGAAUCAUCGAAUCUUUGAACGCACAUUGCGCCCAUUAGUAUUCUAGUGGGCAUACCUGUUCGAGCGUCAUUUCAACCCCUAAGCACAGCUUAUUGUUGGGCGUCUACGUCUGUAGUGCCUCAAAGACAUUGGCGGAGCGGCAGCAGUCCUCUGAGCGUAGUAAUUCUUUAUCUCGCUUCUGUUAGGCGCUGCCCCCCCGGCCGUAAGACCCCCAAUUUUUUCUGGUUGACCUCGGAUCAGGUAGGAAUACCCGCUGAACUUAAGCAUAUCAAUAAGCGGAGGA